AUGUGCUGGGAGAUGGGGAGAAACAGACAAGUUAUAAUACUGACAUCUAUCUCCAUGGGAGGUGUUGACAUUUUGCUGAAACCUUCCAAGACGGGAACUCCUGCUGUGGAUAGGAGAUGCCAUUUCAUUGAAAAUGAGAAAUCAGAAGUCAAAUAUACUGUGAUUUACACAUCUGCUCACCUUUGAAUGUAGUAAAUCCUGAGUGAAACCUGAACUGCUUCAUAGGCAAAAAAUAGUACCUCUAAGCUAGAGCUAAACCUCUCCUGCUUCUUAAGCACCAGGUUAGUAGAGGAAAAAUGUAUAGAGAUAAAGAUUGACUUGAUGCUCAUAUUUUUGGUGAUAAGAUAAUGACUAUCUGGGAAUAGGACCUAUGGGAUGUGAAAAAAAUCAUUAAAAUACUAAUAGACAUGGGUACCUUGGAUGGGUGUACCAAAAGGUGUGGCUUCUAUGCAAUUAAUUAUCUACUUUGUG
rnacentral:lncRNA from 12 species